UACGGGGGGAGCAAGCGUUGUUCGGAUUUACUGGGCGUAAAGGGCGCGUAGGCGGUCAGCACAAGUCAGUUGUGAAAUCUCCGGGCUUAACUCGGAAAGGUCAACUGAUACUGUGCGACUAGAGUGCGGAAGGGGCAACUGGAAUUCUCGGUGUAGCGGUGAAAUGCGUAGAUAUCUGGAGGAACACCGGUGGCGAAGGCGGCAUCCUGGACCAACACUGACGCUGAGUGAGCGAAAGCCAGGGGAGCAAACGGG
rnacentral:rRNA from 1 species